rnacentral:ncRNA from 1 species
UGCGCGCCACUUACCUCAGGUGCCUUCUUGAAGUUUUUAUCUUGAACGUUAAACGGGAAGCUGGUGCGCUCUGAUUCGAUUCAGGCAAUGCCAGCACUGCCCCCGCAACGGUAAAUGGGUUAGCGAUCUACAUCAUGCCACUGUGUAUUGACAUGGGAAGGCGUAGAUCAGGAAUAUAUUCCGCUCAUGAGUCCGGAGACCGGCCUGAAGUAAAUUCGAUGU